rnacentral:rRNA from 1 species
UACGGAGGAUCCAAGCGUUAUCCGGAUUUAUUGGGUUUAAAGGGUGCGUAGGUGGCCUGGUAAGUCAGGGGUGAAAGACGGCAGCUUAACUGUCGCAGUGCCUUUGAUACUGCCGGGCUUGAAUACAGUUGAAGUAGGCGGAAUGUGACGAGUAGCGGUGAAAUGCAUAGAUAUGUCACAGAACACCGAUUGCGAAGGCAGCUUACUAAAGUGUGAUUGACACUGAGGCACGAAAGCGUGGGGAUCAAACAGG